GUAGGAGGAGGAAGCAGCUGAAGCCACUGGCCCACGGCCCCAGCCCCGCUUCCGCCCCCCGUGGGGCCGCGAACCCGGAAACCUCCGCGGCCCCCGCGGGUGGGGGGCACAGAGGGGAGGGACCCGGUCGCAGCCCAGACUUUGCCAAGCCGCGUCUCUGGGGGCCCUGAUCCUCGGCCGGUUUCCCCGAGGGCAGAGCUGGGGCAGGGCCGUGGAGUCCUGCCUGGGGCUUCACAGUGCUAAAGCAGCAAAGGCUGGAUCGAAAGAACAGCUCCAAACCAGUGAUCCUAAUUUCAUCGCCAAGGACCCCGGAGCAUCCAUGUUUUGGCAAAGGAAUACAAACUACUGGUCAUCUUUUAAAAAGCAAUUAGAAGAUCUGGCCACACUGGAUCCACAUUCCUCUGUGGCCUCAGCCAGCACAGCCGAGUGGAGCUUGCCUGAAUCUGGAGCAGGUGCUGCCCUGUGUCCACCUGACCCACGAGUGCUGCUUCUGCUACAGAAUAGAGGGCUCAGAGCACAGUGUGCCCACCUGGGAUCUUCUUUGUUCACAUCCAUGUACAAAAGACAACAGUGCAAUCACAAUCCCUCACCUAAAUUUCAAUCCUGCGUUUCUAACACCGAUUAAUCCUUCCCACUCCCCGGACCAGUGGGAUGUGGCUCAUGAUUGUGGUUGGUUCAAAACUGUGGGCCUCGGGGGCAUUACUGGAUCACCAUAAUUCCACAACUCAUAUGUUUAACAAUGUAUCGUAAGGCAUCUGAGCAUCACGAAGCCCUUGGUGGGUGGUGUUCUUGCCAGAGAUGCAGAAGACCAACUUAAUCAGGAGAAAACACCGAGAAAACCCACACUAAGAAAUAUUCGAAAAAAAUAACUUACCAGAGCUCGUCCCAGUGUCAAGGUCAGGGAAGACAGGAAACCAGCCCUGGAUGGGAGAAACCAAGAAGACACAGUGAUGAAAAUGCAGGAUGAGGUCCUGGCCUGAAUCCUGGAACAGGAAGAAGAUACUGGGGAAACCACUGGUGAGAUUCACCCCUCCCAUCAAGCUUGAAAACAAAAGAGAACAAGAAAGACUACUCCACGUGCACCAACCAGGGCCCCGGCUCCACAUCUGUAAAAUGGGGGCAAUGGAGGUGCCAGUCUCAGAAGGCAACUGUGAGUUUUCAAUCAAAGAAUGUGCACGGCGCACCUCCCGCCCAACCUGGCACAUAAUAAAUACUAAAUGAUAGCUGCUGUUGUUGCUCCUCCCACUUACUUUCCAAACAAGGGAGACAAUAAAGAGCUCGCCCCUUAGUGGAGACUGGGGGACCUCGAUGCCUGCUACUCAUCUGCGGUUUUACAAAAGCAAUUACAGCUCGCCUGUGAUCGCGAGUCUCCGCGUCGUCCUUGAAGCCAAGCCGGAGCUGCCCUGUGAAGAGCGGAAGGCAGUGCCCUUCUGAGCGUCCCGACGCUGUUUAUUAUGCCGGCGAGGCCGCUCAGACUCAUUACCGCUGCCGAAUACAGGCCCCCGGAGGCCGGAGUGGAGCCGGAUAAUUACCAGCAGAUCCCUAAUAGGGAUGGACUCAAUGGAAAGAAGUCAAUCAGCAACGCCGGCGUUUGUGUCUACACUAUUCUGACCCGCGCUUGCUGGGGCGCAGGAGACUGCUAAUGAGGGCCCCGCUUCGGAGGCCAGGAGCCCUGACCACGCACGGCUCAGCCCCGGAGAACCUGGUGGCCGGAAGAAUCCCAACAAGGGGGUCCUCCCUGACCCUCCUGAGGGCCGCCGUGGGGUGAACUCAGAGACCCGCUGUGUGCCACACUCUCCUCUGCCUUGACGGCCCAGCCGGCCCACUCCAGCGCCGGCUCUGAGUCCAUAAGAAACGCCGCGUUCAUGAGAUCUCCUUGGCGAACCAUCCUCCGCCUUCUGCCCUCCUGUCUCCUGCUCCACUCCAGCCCUCCUUCACGCUUGUUCCAGGUAGCAGCCUUUACCACCCGGUAGUAACUUCUCGGAGCCACCUCAUCCCUCCUCGCUGGUUCUCUGCGUGGCCCCAGGGGAUGAGGCUUUUAUUGCUCAUGUCCUCCUAUCUGCUUUCCUUGCAGCUUGGUGUAGGCUGCACUUUAACCUAAAAACAUGACUGAUGAGAGUCCCUGCGAGUUACCCCUCCAGAGGUAAGGAUUUCAGCCCACAAACUGGAGCCGCAAGGAACUGAGUCUUCUGGGGUGGUGCUGUACGCUGAUCUUCAUUGAUACCUCAAGCUCGUUUCCUUGGGUCAUGGAGAUGCAACCUCAGCCACUCCAGAAAGUUCCCACUUGUUCCCCGGGUGGGUGGGACACUACAUCCUGGGGGCAGGGCGGCCAGAGGGUGAACUGGUCCCGUAUCCCUGCCCACCAUCCACACUGGCAUCCUCCAGGCCUUGUGCUGCUCCCCUCCUGUCUCCUCCGUCUUCGGUCACCUGCAGUCCGCCCCCAGGAGAGUCCCUGCUGAGAUCUGUUCAUCUCUGCCCCAGAGUCACCCUGGGUGCAGUCACUUGGCUAUUUCCAAAUCCUUCCCCCAACAGCAAACGUCCACCUUCCUUUCAUCCCACAAUCCCUCCUCUCAAGCACUAAAAUACACCGACUUGGCAGAGAGGGAAAGCCAUGGAAUAAGGGAAGAGUCCUUGUUUAGCAUCUAAAAUGAUUAUUCCCCCCACCCCGAAGAUAUGACAAAGGAAAAAUCUGUAGCACGAGUGCCCCAAUUCUGUACGUAGUUGCUGGCCCUGAAAGGAACACAGUACGGGUGAACUGGUAAAGCAGAAAUUAGUGUGGAAAUUACCAUAGCCGAGGAUACGUCCUCUGGCCUCGGAGGCUGUGAGUGACUUUCUUUGCUGCAGGUUCCACACAGCCAUGAAAGCAUGCCAAUAUGGAGGGGUGCCUGAGCCCACAGAAGCUUUUUUGCCUCCCCUAAGGCUGUGGGCGCGUGUGUGAUUGCAUCACCCUAGGAACAGCGGGGUCCACCACGUUGGCUGCCCACCAUUUAUUUGCUCUUGGGAUGAUUUGUCGAGAUCUACAGACUAUGUGAGAUUUGAGUAAAACCCAGAGGCAGCCAGGCCCCCACAGGCUCCUGCAUAUGUAGCUGCCUGAGCUGGAAACGGAGAGCAGUUCAUAGCCCCAGAGAGCUCCACCUCGGGGCUACAUCCGUCCCCUGGACCUUUCUCAUCUUCAAAUUCUCUGGAGCUUGCUUCUUCAUCCACUCUUCCAAACCUAAGCAAAAUCAACCACAAAAAAAAACAUUCCCACUUCUCUCUCUCGUGCCUCACCACUGACAUCUAAGACCUCUUGGGUCCUCCACAGAGACCUGGUUCCUUGACUAUGCAACCCUGGUAUCCCCCAGUUAAACCCGAGCCAUCCUGGAGCUUCUGGGCAUCUCCUAGAGGUUCCCUGCAUCAUAAACGCCAAUUCCCCAGCUGUGACCGCUUACCCUCCCCACUGUACCCAUGCAUCGGUGACACUGGGCAUCCAGUAUCUUGUCCUCUUCUCCCCCAUCGAGGAGCUUUUUCCUAGUUUCACAAGCCCUCAUUUCAGCUACUUGCUUCCCGCCCACACUCCUGGUUCCCUCGCUCCUCUUCCUCUGUGUCUCUGCCACCACCAGCCAAGCCCAGAAUUUGCUCAGCCUGCCAGUCACCCCACUGUCACUACAAAGCAUGAUCUCCAGCAUUGGGUUCACUCUUCAGCCUGUCUAGGAAUCAUUUAAAGAAAGAAGUUGGGUAGAAAUAGGUUCAGGUUUCACUGUCAAUCUCAAUCGAGCCUCUUAGCUUCAUUUAGGCUGAUGCCUGUGCCCCUGAAAACCUGGAGCAAAGGUAAGGCCAACUGUGGAGUAGCAACAGGGUUCUGUUCUAAUGGAUCUAGUAGGCUGUAGCACGCCUGCUGCUGUUCCACUUAAGAGACAACAUUGCUUGCUCCAGGGACGGUUUUGGAGAAUUCUGGAAUCAGUUCCCCACCACAGUGUGAUGCAUGUUAGAGGUAGCAUUUCUCAAAGACCCCUUCCUUCGUGACUGUGUCCCUCCCUGCACAAUGGCCAAAGUGAGCAAAGGUUGUCCACCCCAGGAGGGAUUCACAGUACAUCUCCCCAACUUUGGGAGCUCCAAGCAAACCAGCACUUUUUCGUAUGGACAAGACUUACUCUCUUGGCACCUGGAAAUGGUGACUGAGGGGCAGGCCUCUGCCUACUGGUAGAACACACAAGCUUUCUGAAUAAACACCUGCGGCUCCCUGCACUUUUGUCCCUCCGCGACACACCCACCAUCGAUCUCAGUUAGCGCUUACUGCCAGCCCCUUCCAGUAUUCGGUCUACAUGGCUGCCUUGAAACACCCCUGGGCGAGUGGUGGGCUCCCUUGGCUCGUCUGCCUCUGGGACUCACACUGUGCAUGCUCGCUCACCCCUCAUCUCAUGGACAGAUAACUGCCAGCCAGGUAAGUGGCCAUUUGGACAACUUGCCAAAUCGAGGCUUUGAUGACUGCGGCCCAGCUGUCAUCUACCUACGGUGGCAGAAAACACCCCGAGCAAAGGCCGUGUGGCUGGACCCAUCCAGAAAGAGUGCCCAACAGGUGUUCUAAGCUUUAGGAUUGUUCCCUACAGCAGCAAUUUAAAAAUCAGCCAGGCAUGGUUACAUGACACACCUGACCUGUACA